AAAAAGGUAAACCCUGGGUUUCUGUGCCAACGUUUGACUGUCCGUCUUAUAUGAAAUGUUUUAAUAAUUACUAUUUUCAUUGUUGUUAGAUGAUAAAACAUAAUUAAUACUUUAUGCGUGACUUAUUUUUUUAAUUUUUUUCAUAAUUUUUUUAAAUAAGACGGACGGUCAGACGUUGAACACGGAAAUCGGGUUUCUCGGACG
rfam:Oryza meridionalis cultivar OR44 (W2112) chromosome 1, whole genome shotgun sequence.